ensembl:lncRNA
AAUCAAAAAAGUGCAUGAUAAAUAAAGAUAUUGUCUCUCAAAAGAGAGAGUCGGUUCCGAAUCGCCUUAACGAGUCAUUAUAUUUUCGAAUCUUUUGCCUGUUACCGGUAUACGUCACUGGGUAACAUAUUUGCAUAAUCCCCGCCUGCCCGCGAAAUACAAACAGAGUCUGACCUGCCCACAAACACUUCCGCUAGUUUAUGUGUUUACAUCAUGUUUAAGAAGACGCUGUGUUCAAGGAUACCGCAGAAAUACAAUUCGAACUAGGGAUGUCAAUUUUCGAUCAUUUCUAUGAUCGAUCUCAUUUAAAUUAACAAUCAAUUAAUCGAUUAAUCUUUAACCUUAAUGCUGCAAAAUGCAUCUAUUGCAGUGAUAUGCAGUCACCAGUAUGACAGGAUGUACAAAAGCCACUAAAAUAAAAUCAUCCUAAACAUAAGCCUAACUGUGGCACGUGUGACUGUGCUGUGCAGUCAGAGAACCACUUCCAUCGGCGCUGCUGCAGCAAAACACACUGUUGCUCACAUCAAACAUUUUUAUUGGAGUAUUAUGACCAGUACUUAAUUUGAUCCUGCUUGGUUCUGUUCCAGAAAAUGCCAGAUUUUGAAUUUUUGCGUUCAGCAUUCUCUUGGAGCAGGCCAGUUGAAACCACGACUAUCCACCAGGAAAUGAAAUGGCGUAUCAGACCACAACAACCAUUGCUGGGAAGCAAGGGAAGCCGCAGCUCUGCAGGGCUUCAGGCUGAGCUGGUAUGCGAGUUGGCAGCGUUGAUGUGUAGCUGCUGUGCUUAUGCUGUGUAACUGAGAACCUGUGUGAACAGAAUCAGCCCUUCGGAGCCGAUUUACCCUGACAAGGCCUCCCAGAGUUAAACUCUCUAUCUCUGCCUCUCUAAGACAAUUUUUAGCUGUGUGUUUUCAGUUUUCCAGAGGACAUUUUUUCUUUUCUUGAAGGACGAUAAGAGUUGUAAAUGGAGAGUAAAGGAGGGGGUUGGGGUGACAUGGUGGCCUGUGGGACUAUUAAAUUGUUCCCCUUUUAAGGCAAAUUCCACUCGUGCCUCCUUGGCCCCUCUUGUUUCCCUCCCUCCUCUUUUCCUGUUCUCUGUCCUUCUCUGAAUGCACACAUAAACCAACUCUCUGAACACCAAUGUCCCUAUAACUACUUUAUCAGGUACAACCAUGUUGUUGUGACUUUACAGGUACCCAUGAGACAUGCCUGGAAACAUCAUCUAUUGAAAAUUCUGGAAAAUAACAUUAACACAUCAGUCAUGUAGCAUGUUUCCAUGCAGCCUAGAAAUUUGUUAGGACUUGAUGCAAAUACAUUUUAACCUGUCUGAAAGAGGUAAUCCUACAGAUUUUUUUUUUAAUUCAAUGAUAUAUUGCCUUAUUGUUCCAAGCCUGUAUGAUUUUAAUUGAAAACUGGAACCAAUGUUGGUAUAUGUGCCUGCUCAAACACUGCAACAAACUAAAAUUGCACAUUUCACCUUUAAAUUCACACAGUCUUGUUUCAUAAGAUAAGCUCAGACAAAACUAUGGCCACGCAAGCACUUUUUCCAUAAAACUAAGUGCAGGGAAAACUAACGAAUAUAUUUAAAAAAGCAAAGCCAGGCAUUUUUAAGAGUAACACGUCAAAUAGAGAACUGAAUGAUCUAUGGACUGAUCCUAAUAAAAUGUGUUUGUCUGAUACA